CCAGAGUACCAAUUGGAGGGCAAGUCUGGUGCCAGCAGCCGCGGUAAUUCCAGCUCCAAUAGCGUAUAUUAAACUUGUUGCAGUUAAAAAGCUCGUAGUUGAAUUUCAGCGUUUCGCGUGUGCCUCUUUUGGCCCAUCUCGUCUCGCUUUUUUUAUUACUUUGAGAAAAUUAGAGUGUUUCAAGCAGGCUUUUGUCUUGAAUACUUGAGCAUGGAAUAAUAGAGUAGGACCUUGGUUCUAUUUUGUUGGUUUUGUUACCUUGGUAAUGGUUAAUAGGAACGGUUGGGGGCAUUCGUAUUUAACUGUCAGAGGUGAAAUUCUUAGAUUUGUUAAAGACGAACUACUGCGAAAGCAUUUGCCAAGGACGUUUCCAUUAAUCAAGAACGAAAGUUAGGGGAUCGAAGACGAUCAGAUACCGUCGUAGUCCUA
rnacentral:rRNA from 1 species